rnacentral:lncRNA from 10 species
GGGGUUGGGGUUCUCUGUUUGUUCCUGAGAAAGUAAGAAACCCUCAGCUCAGACUAGUCUGUGGCACCAGCAGAACUGUCUUGAGGAGAAGAUAGAAACUGUUGCAUAAAGAAUACUCUGAAGAAGGUCCUCACAUGAGUGGCAGUCAGACAAGCUCACGGCUUCAUCACAAAAGUCCAAACUGCCAGCUUCAGCAAGAAAGGAACAUCCCUGGAUUGCAGGAGAAGGAAAAAAGUUGAAGAUGCCAAGCCAAGCCAGAGGGAAGGAAAGGCG